GAUGAAGAACGCAGCGAAAUGCGAUAAGUAAUGUGAAUUGCAGAAUUCAGUGAAUCAUCGAAUCUUUGAACGCACCUUGCGCCCUUUGGACAUUCCGAAGGGCAUGCCUGUUUGAGUAUCAUGAACACCUCAACUCUCACGGCUUGUCCGUGAUGAGCUUGGACUUUGGGGGUCUUGCCGGCCUGUGGUCGGCUCCUCUCAAAUGGAUCAGCUUGCCAGUGUUUGGUGGCAUCACAGGUGUGAUAACUAUCUGCGCUUGUGGUUUUCCAUAAGAUAACCUUCAGUGAUAUGGAGGUUCGCUGGAGCUCACAAAUGUCUCUCCUUAGUGAGGACAGCUCUUUGAACGUUUGAUCUCAAAUCAGGUAGGACUACCCGCUGAACUUAAGCAUAUCAAUAAGCGGAGGA
rnacentral:misc_RNA from 1 species